rnacentral:tRNA from 1 species
GGUUGUGGCUCAGCGGUAGAGCACUUGCCUAGCAUGUGUGAGGCCCUGGGUUCGAUCCUCAGCACCA